GACGAACCGUGCGAACGUUGUUCGGAAUCACUGGGCUUAAAGGGCGCGUAGGCGGGCCCGCAAGUCAGGGGUGAAAUCCCACGGCUCAACCGUGGAAGUGCCUUUGAUACUGCGGGUCUCGAGGGAGGUAGGGGCGUGCGGAACUUCCGGUGGAGCGGUGAAAUGCGUAGAUAUCGGAAGGAACACCGGUGGCGAAAGCGGCGCGCUGGACCUCUUCUGACGCUGAGGCGCGAAAGCCAGGGGAGCAAACGGG
rnacentral:rRNA from 1 species